GCUCACAUCGGCAGUGCACAUAUUAAACUGGAACGGUACAGAGAAGAUGAGCAUGUCCCCUACACAGGAUGACACCCAAACUCAUGAAGCAGUCCAUAUUUUU